rnacentral:lncRNA from 1 species
UGAAGCACAAUUAUACACAGAAACUUAUGUCAAAAACUUCGACAUAAAAUCUUCAACGAAAUUGACACUUAACAAAAGAUUAACUGCAAUUACUCGAAUUAACCUACCGAGAUUUGUUACUUCCAACACCUAUUCCUAAAAUAAAGAACCAACAUUGUUUAACCACGAGAAAUUAUCCAUUAGCACAAACUAUCAACGAUACGACACCGUCAUUUCUUAGAACUUUUAACAAAUUGACACAAUUGACAUCACAGAAGACAUACUUACCCGACCCGUACAAUAGAUUAGAAUGAGAAGUCCAACGAUCGACAACAACACGCUCAAACGAUUUAAAAACAAAAAGCGAAAGAAGAGGAAAAAGAAAAAGAGAAGGGAAAGAAGCAAAAAUGUAAAGGGGAAAAGAAAGGGAAAAAAAAAAGAAACAUUUAAAAUAUUUUGUCUCAGCCACUAGUAAAUUUUUCGACAACAAGCAAAAUAUUUCCUAACACAUACGAUGGGACUCGAACACGGGGCCAAACAAAAUACAGAGACUUAAAUAGUGAACCAACAAACUCAUUCUUAAUAUAAAUUUACAUAGAAUUACAUUUAACUAUGUAAUGCAUGGAUGGGGUUGUUUUAAAAUAAUAAAACUUUUAACAAUACAAUUCGAAUUUCAGACCUUAAACAUAAUAGUAAAACACAAAACCAUAGAUAUAAAGAUUUAAUUAAUAUAAAAUACUGCAAUAAUAAUAUUUUGUUAUUUUUAAAAUUUAAUAAUGUGGCACUAUUUUAUUGGUGCCUAAAAAUUAUAUUUUUUAUAUCAUCUUAAUAUAUUUUAUUUUUUUAAAUGAAGGAUGGGGUUUUAUAUUGAAAUUAAUAGAUAUAGAUAAGUGUAUAAUAAUAUUUUGUUAUUUUUACUAAUUAACAACCCUAAAAAGUCAAGAGUGCUCUCUGAGCAUCCCAAAGAAACAACGGUUACUGUGCUUUGGCAGCGGACGAGUGGUGACUUGAGGGUAUGGAAGCAGAAAAUGAAUUAGCUCUUUUUGAAGAAGAACUGAUCCAGUUAACAGUAAAGAGUUCGCUAGUAACUCCGGCAGAAAAUCCAACGCUGAUCUACACUGUUUGGACAAAGAAAUCAUAUAACCCAGAUAGUUUGAGAGCACAAUUAAGGAGUGUAUGGAAAACUAGAAAGAAAUUCGAGAUUAAUAUUGUGGGGCAGAACCUGUUUUCAAUAAUUUUUGAAGAUGAGGAUGAUUUAGAGCGUGUCAUGGAAGGGCGACCAUGGCUUUUUUGGAAACAACUAGUAAUUCUUGACCGAUUAACGGAACCACUGGAGCGAGGCAAGAUUGACUGAUUCUUUCCCCCUUUUUGGAUAAAAAUAGGGCCAAGUCCUCCAGAAUGUGACAAAAAGAACCUAAUGCAUGCGGUGGGAUCCACGUUUGGGGGUGUGAUACGAUCAGAGAUUAAAGAGGACUUUUGUCGCCUUAAGGUCAAUUUAGAUGUGCAGAAACCACUACAGAAAGGUCUGUUUGUCUCUCCAAACAAUCAAGGAAGAACCUGGCUUCCUUUCAAAUACGAAUCACUACCAACGUUCUGUUUUGGGUGUGGUCGGCAAGGCAUGGGGUUAAAGAUUGUACGAGUAUUUCAUUUGAAGAAAGAGUAAAGACAGAAGAUGAUUUACCUUAUUCAAUAGCGCUUAAAGCUGAAUCUUCUAUCAAAGGAAAAGAAAGCAUAUGGCUCGGAUCCCUGAAAAAGAAAACAAUGAUACAGUGUAACUAUACAGGCAUGGAAGAAACAGAUAGUAACGGUAAGUGCAGUACAGAAUUAUUGAUGCCGAAGACAGAUAGAUAUGAUGAUGGCAAAAAUUUCAAAAAAAGACCCAAAUGUUCUGGACGCAGAAGACCGGGGGGGAAAUAACAAAUUUAAUGAUGGUAUUGAAAGUCUUGGAAAGGGUAUGACCAAUGUGGAGGAAAAGUUACAGAAAAACCAAAGUAGCAUGGCAGAAAAUCAGAUAGAUGAAGUGGAGAUAAAAAAUUAUGAAGAAUGGGAAGCAACACAACAACCGAGAUAUCACAGAAGCAGCUGGCGUAGAUUGGACAAGAAGAACUUUGAUGCAAAUAUGUCAGAAAGGAUCUUGGAUAAACGCAAGUUUAAUCAUGAAAGCCUAGUUGAGAAUGCGACAUAUCUCACUAAUGAAAGUCCUGUUAAAAAAGUAAAGGAAAAUAAGGAUAGGGAGGAUAGUUAUGCCAAUUUUGAUUGUAAGCAGGCUGUUUUCCACGUUAGUUCAGAACUAACACAAGUUAUAUCGGCGGCUGCCAAUGGGCAAGCCGACUGGAAGCCAUGAAACUCCUAAGCUGGAAUGUCUGGAGACUGGGGAAUCCCCAGGCUAGUAGGAGAUUUCAACAUAUGUUGAAACUCUACAAACCCCAACUGGUCUUCAUAAUGGAGACAAAAUUGGAUCAUAGACGCAUGGAAUGAGUUAGGAGAAAAUGUGGUUUUCAGAACGGGAUAGAUAUAUCAGCAACGGGUACACGUGGUAGAAUUUGCCUUGCAUGGAACGAAAAUCACUUGGCUAUUCAGAAUCUCAUGUUGAUGUUGAAGUUAUUGAUGAAGAUAACUCAAACAAAUGGAGGUUCACUGGAUUUUAUGGGAAUCCACAAGUCUCAGAUAGGCAGGACUCUUAGAAUCUUCUUCGAAGGCUACGAGAAACAAAUUCAGAAGCAUGGUGUAUAUGUGGUGAUUUCAACGAGAUUAUGUAUGCUCAUAAAAAAACGGGAGGCGCAACAAGAAAUGAAAGGCAGAUGGAGGCUUUUCGAAAGGCCUUAACAGAUUAUGAAUUAGUCGAUUUGGGUUAUACGGGACAGAAGUAUACAUGGGAGAGGGGCAACUUCCAGACCACAAAUAUUCGAGAAUGGCUAGACCGGGGAGUGGCAAAUAAUGCUUGGCUCAAUUUGUAUAGUAAUUACAAGGUACAUAAUCUUAUGCAUUGAUUCUAUUAUCACUGUCCGAAUCUAAUCAAAACAGAGAUAAAUAGUGCACAUGAUGGGAGAAAUCGCUUUAAGUUUAAAUCUUGGUGGCUUAUGGAACCGAAUUGUGCUGAUGUUAUUAGGAAACUAUGGGAUGAGAAAUCAAGUGAUGCUCUUGCUAAAUUGGAAAAUCUUUGAGCUGGCCUACAAAAAUGGGGACGAAGAGUCAAGUACGCACAUGACAAGAAAAGGAAGAACCUUCGAGAUCGAUUGGUUCAACUUGAUAGUAUAGACCGGGAUGAUGAUGUGAUAGCAGAAAUCCUUGAUGUAAAGCUGGAGCUUAAUUGGGAAAUGGAAAAGGAGGAAUUAUAUCGGGAACAACAGGCUAGAGCCAAUUGGUUGCGUGAGGGUGAUAAAAAUACAACGUUUUUUCAUAGUAAAGCUACAUAAAGACAGAGGAUGAAUUAUAUCCGGGGAUUGGAAGACAAGAAUGAAUUCUUUAAGACAGAAAGAGAGGGUAUGGAGACUAUCGUUAAAGAUUAUUUUAUGGAGCUCUUUAAUUCAAAAGGGGUUGGCAACACAAACCAUCUUCUUUCAGGGGUUAAAAAGUGUAUCAAUGAGGAUAUGUACCGAAUAUUAGCAGUAGAUUAUAAGGAGGAAGAGAUAGUUGAAGCGCUUAAGAGCAUAAGGCCGACAAAAGCCUCUGGGCCUGACGGCUUCCCAACUAUUUUCUUUCAGAAAUUUUGGUAUAUUGUGGGAAAGGAGAUUUGUGGGUUUUUCUUAGGAGUCCUAAAUAAAGGUAUGUCUUUGCAACCUUUAAACCAUACGAAUAUAGUAUCAAUUCCAAAAUCGGCUCACCCGAAAAGCCUCAUAGAUUUUAGACCUAUCAGCCUAUGUUCGAUGUUUUACAAAAUAAUCUCAAAAACAAUAGCAAAUAGAUUCCAAAAGGUUCUUGAUUCUUGUAUGGAUCCAGCCCAAAGUGCGUUUGUCCCUGGAAGGCUCAUUCCUGAUAAUGUUCUCCUUCCAUAUGAAAUCUUACAUAUUCUCUGGAAUAAAAGAGUGGGGAAAAAAGGGUUCAUGGCCUUUAAGAUUGACAUGAGUAAGGCAUAUGAUAGGGUGGAAUGGGAGUUCCUAAAACAAAUGAUGAUUAAGAUGGGUUUUGAUGAAGAAUGGGUUGUGAGAAUUAUGCAUUGUAUUAAUACGGUUUCAUACUCGAUAAUUUUAAAUGGCAAUCCACUUAGCCCUUUGUUAUUUCUCAUAUGUAGCGAAGGACUUUCUACACUACUAAGGCUAGCAGUUGAGGAAGGAAGUCUAAAAGGGAUCACAGCAAGUAGACGAAGACCUCAGAUCUCUCACUUGUUAUUUACUGAUGACUGCAUUCUAUUCGGGGAAGCAACAGAGAGGGGAAUUACGACAUUUGAACAAAUUCUAAAAGAGUACGAGGAAUGUUCUGGCCAAUACAUUAAUACUGAAAAAUCAACGAUGUUUUUCAGGUCAAAUACUUUAGAGACAGUUCGAGCGAAUAUAUCAAACUGACUGGGAGUUAAAAGGUCCAAUAACUUUGAAAACUACUUGGGUUUACCAAAUAUGGUGGGCUGGAGAAAACGUGGGGCUUUUCAACAUCUAAAAGACCAUAUAAAGAUGAGAAUCGACAACUGGAGUACUCGUUUAUUAUCACAAGGAGGGAAAGAGGUGUUCAUUAAAGCCAUUUUACAGGAAAUUCCCACAUACACAAUGUCCUGCUUCUUAUUACUGAUGUCUAUGUACUAGAAAAUGGAACAAUUGAUGGCAAACAUCUGGUGGCAAAAGGGGAAAGGUAAACGCGGAAUUCAUUGGUGCCCUUGGUACACAUUAUGAAAAUUAAAAUAUGAGGGUGGACUUGGUUAUCGUAAUUUAGCUAAAUUCAAUUUGGCCCUCCUUGUAAAAUAAGGGUGGACAUUAAUUGAUAACCUGACGUCCCUUUUGGCGAGAACAUUAAAAGAAAAGUAUUAUCAAAACUCUGAUUUCUUAAGGUCGGAGUUAGGAAACUCACCAUCAUAUACUUGGAAAAGUAUAUGGGCAGCCAAAAGGCUACUGCUCUCAGGUCUAAGCUGGAGGGUUGGUGAUGGAAGUAAUAUCAAAAUUGAAGAAGACGCUUGGGUUCCAAAUGCUAAUGGUUUGCUGGUCCAGAAAACAGGCAAUAGGCAAGAUGUUACUAAAGUUUCAGAUCUUAUCGAGCAUAGAAACAGAACAUGGAAGUCGGAGUUGAUUCGCACUACCUUUUCGGAAGAGGUUGCACAACAGAUAUUAUUAAUCCCAUUGGCCAGUUCUCCUCACGACAACUUUCUGUGCUAGAGAGGUGAGGCAUCCGACGAAUAUACGGUAUGUAGUGGGUACAAAAUUCUCUUACAAAGUAAUGGAAAUUACAACCAAAGUGAGAAUAAUAAUUUUUACAAAAAAAUCUGGACAAGUGACCUUCCGUCAAAAAUUAGAAUUACAGCUUGGAGAUCCACUCUUAAUUAUCUCCCUACCCUAGUAAACUUAAAAACAAAGCGAGUAACUAAUAACGACAUUUGCCAGAGGUGCAUGCAAGGGCAGGAAAAUAGAGACCAUAUCUUUUGCGAUUGUGCUGUCACCAAAGAAACACGGGCAAAAUUAGAGUUUGCAUGGCCCCAGAACAUUUUACAGUCUGAAUAUAUGGAAUGGUUUACCUGGACGGUGUUAAACGGUAAAACAGAAGUAGUCCGAAUUUUUCUCUGCGCCAUAUGGGCUAUCUGGUCAACUAGGAAUAGUUGGGUUCACGAAACUCAGAAGCGGUCUAGAGCAGAAACAGCAAAUUUCAUCAAGAAGUACAUACAAGAACUAAAAGAUAUUGAAAGAAAGGAACUCACCUCGGAUCAGAAUCUCAAGUCAUGGAGGCCUCCGCCACAAGGUUUCUUCAAUAUCAACUUCGAUGCUGCUUUCGAUAAAAAGGAGAAAAAGUCAUGUUCAGAAGUAAUAAUCGGGAAUCCCAAAGGAGUAGUUACAGUAUCAAAAGAGCAAAUACAUACCAACAUUUCCUCUAGUUUUGCAGCUGAAGCCAUUGCAUGUUUACAGGUAGUUAAUAUAGGUAGAGAACUAGGCUUAACUCAUGUUAUCAUUAAAGGUGACUCUUUGACAGCGAUAAAGAAGAUACAGAAUCAAAAUAGAGACAGAUCGAAAAUAGGACCUUUUAUUUUUGACAUAAAAGAACGAAGAACAAUGUUUUUUGAAUGUCAAUUCCAACAUGUAAAGAGAACAGAAAAUGCAGAAGCACAUAACCUGGCAUCAGAGGGGCUAAAAAUGGACAGGCAAAGAGAUGCUAACCAUGGUCAUGCAACGACAUCUCUAAUCGGGGCUGGCAACGACACGUCUAAAAAUGGACAGGUUGAUACUGAAGCAAAAGUUGAUCGGGGCUGGAAACGACAUCUCUAAUCGGCUAUGAGUCAUCAUUAAAGGGUUUUGAUGAAAUUAAAGUAACAGAGAACAAGAUUCAGGAGAAGACGGAAGGAUAUGAAAUGGAAAGGGAAAGAAAAAAAGUAAAUCAAAAGUCAUGGGGCAACAAAUUUCCUUGAAAUCCUAGAACGUUUCCAAAAUGAAAAGAUAGAUGAAAGGAGGAGACGCACACAGAGCUCUCUGAUUGGGUGAAAGGGUUGCAUUUGUUUAGUUUCUAGAAUAUUCUUUUAUUAGUAGAAUUUGGGCCAAAAGUUUUAUGGUCUGAUUGUUUUUAUUUGUUUCCUGGAUAGUGUAUAUACCUUAUUUUUUAAUUAAUUAAAG